UCUAAUCAGCUGGAUGCUGAUUGGCUCGACGCGUCAUGCAGCAGCAUAGUGAUUAUGUCCUUGCAAAAAUUGCUCAGACUCACCACUUGCAGUAAAUGUGGAUUAUUGACUCGGAUGUGGAUGGACGCUGAAACGAAUCUGCAUGUGGCGCCUCGCCAGUGGGUGCGUUUUCAACCGAACCGCCUCUGACGAAUGAAAGAGCCAGCAGCGAGCCUUUUUUAAAGCAGAGAGAGCCUCUUCAUGAUGAUCUUCCACAAGCUGCAAGCAACUGGAAUAAGAUUAACACAGGAAACCUGGAUGGACCAUCAGCAGGAGCAGGGCUGCAGAGAGGAAAUGAGAGCAGGAGGAGUGGAGGAGAUGAAGAGUGAAGCUGACAGAUGGGACACCAGAAGACCCAGACAGGCAGGGUCACGGGGGAGUAAUGGGAUUGCUCGGCUGUACUCCUUCUCAAGACUCUCUGGCAGAGACAGGCCUCCUAAAUCAUCCUCACACCUCUGAGCAAGAUGGAGGACCAGGCGUCGCAAGGCGCCGCCUCCACCCGCCCGACCUCCACGCCGCCGCCACCGCCGCUCGUCCAAAUGGGGUGCAGAUAUUGCUCACGGCCACUGUUUCUCCUCAACCUCCUGCAGGAACGGAUUCAUAUCCAGUCAGCAUUCUGUAAAUAUCCAGAGAGAGAGAGGGCAGGGUCACCACAGCUGUGCCACACUUCCUGCUCAAAGACUUGCUGCUGAUCUGCAUCUUUUUUCUCCUUUACUUCCCUGGAUUCUCACGGUCAGGCUGCGGUCUGCGUGUCUGCUGUGUGCGUUCACUUACCUUACUAUCAUUUUUUUUUUAAAAGAUCCAGAUUAUUGUUUACGAAUAGGAAGCAGGAAGUAAACAAAAGUAAUGGCUACUUUGUUUUUACCAUUAAUUAAAAAAGACUCCAGGUCUUCUGUGUUUCUAUGACAACCCGAUUCACAGAAACUGUGUUAAAUGCUCAAAAUUUUGAAUUUGUUUUACCACCUAACUGCUUUGAACUUGCCCACAGCUUCACCUCUGACCUGUCUGCUGCCUUCCAGUGUUAGUGACAGAUUCCACACAGCUGGACCCCAUUUGCUAAUUAGCUUACCUCUGCAGCCAAUCAGCUGCCCUGGAUUUUAUUUAGGGGAAUUGGAGUGAAGAGGUAGAAAAUGACGUCACACUUUCAUACACUGCGCAUGUGAGCUGACAUUCUGAUUAUAACUAUUUUGAGUUAUUUGUGGGUGUAAGUGGCGAUACGCCGAUCUGAUACCGAUA